CUUGAUCUGUUAUAAUUUGGCAGUAAGGUACAUAUUCAACAAUAGGAUCAUUCUGUAUAAGCCCCAAAUCUGACCUUCUUUCACCUUCUUUUCAUCUUUCGCACUGACCAUUCUGUCUUUUAAACACAGGAUUAAAUGAGGAACUAAAAUUCACCAAGAACCUGCUAGGUAUCAGGUACAGUGCAAGUUGCUUUCCACACAUUUCUCAUUUAAUCAGCCACCUGUGAAAUUGCUAUGAUUUAUCACCAUUUGGCAGAAAAGGACAUUUAGGGCACAAGAGGUUAAAUAAGCUGCUGGUUGGGUAUAUUAAGUAUUAAUAAAUAAUCAGAUAGAUAAGUUAGGUAGUUAAGUAAGCUGCCAGAUUAGUAAACAGCUAGUUUCAAAUCCCACCUACAACAUUUACUAGUUGCAUGACCCUUGGGGAAACCCAGCCUCUGAGUCUCAUGGCACUGCUGAUAAAACGGAAAACAUCAUCCUCACAAGGUUCUGAGGACUAGAGAUGGACUCAGGUACACACAGCACCCAGUACAAUGUCUGGCCUUCAGCCAAUGAUAGCAACCCUCCACUCACCUCUCCAUUCCCUUCCAGCUCCUGCAUUCAAAAACUUUUAUUUAUUUAUUUUUAAUUUAGGAGGCUUUUUGCUCAGAAUCCUGAAAAGGCUUCUGUUACUUUACCUUUUUUUUUCAACCUUUGGGAGCACAGAAUAGGCUUCUGCUCCUUUAAAUAACUUUAACAGGCACCAAGGAACACUGUUAGCUCUUUCUUAAUUCUGUAGGUCCACAUUUAGGAAAAAGAAAUUGUUAGCCUCUGACUUAUUUCCAGCUUACAAAAAGGCUGUGAUGUUGGCAGCCCAGGAAAAGUAGUUCCCAUGAGUCAAUGCUUUCAGCUUCCAGCCAGUGAAGAACAGGAAAUAGUGACAUCACUAUUGCCAAAAAGCACAGCGAACCGCUUCCACCACAGGGCUUUCCCAGAUGACGUCAGUGAGCUGAGCACAGGGCAUCACUCUUGCCAGAUGGCUCCGGAAGAGUCUCAGCUGCCCUGUCAAGUUUAGCUUCUCAAGUUCCCCAGAACCAGCACAGCAAGGAUCAUCCCUCCAGAAAAGGAAAUGAUUUCUCUGAUCGUGAUCAAACCAUGUCAUGAUUUCAGUUGUAGGUGGUGGCUGAUCAAGACAGUAUGAAAUUUCAUACAGUUUCCUAACUUGAGAAAACAUGGUGAUGCAAUUCCUCCAACCAGAAGGGAUUUAUAGACAGCAGUGGCUAGGUCCUAAUCUGCCCUGAAUACAGGAUGACUACACAGAUUGGCAGAUGGACGCAGCUUUCUCUCUAAGAAAAGUCUGCUGAGAACCCUCGUUCCCGCUCUGUUUCUG